rnacentral:rRNA from 1 species
GAUGAACGCUGGCGGCGUGCCUAAUACAUGCAAGUCGAACGCAUAGCGAAAGGUGCUUGCACCUUUCAAGUGAGUGGCGAACGGGUGAGUAACACGUGGACAACCUGCCUCAAGGCUGGGGAUAACAUUUGGAAACAGAUGCUAAUACCGAAUAAAACUUAGUGUUGCAUGACGCAAAGUUAAAAGGCGCUUCGGCGUCACCUAGAGAUGGAUCCGCGGUGCAUUAGUUAGUUGGUGGGGUAAAGGCCUACCAAGACAAUGAUGCAUAGCCGAGUUGAGAGACUGAUCGGCCACAUUGGGACUGAGACACGGCCCAAACUCCUACGGGAGGCUGCAGUAGGGAAUCUUCCACAAUGGGCGAAAGCCUGAUGGAGCAACGCCGCGUGUGUGAUGAAGGCUUUCGGGUCGUAAAGCACUGUUGUAUGGGAAGAACAGCUAGAAUAGGAAAUGAUUUUAGUUUGACGGUACCAGACCAGAAAGGGACGGCUAAAUACGUG